rnacentral:rRNA from 1 species
AGCGAACGCUGGCGGCAGGCCUAACACAUGCAAGUCGAGCGCCCCGCAAGGGGAGCGGCAGACGGGAGAGUAACACGUGGGAACGUACCCUUUGGUUCGGAACAACCCAGGGAAACUUGGGCUAAUACCGGAUAAGCCCUUACGGGGAAAGAUUCAUCGCCGAAGGAUCGGCCCGCGUCUGAUUAGCUAGUCGGUGGGGUAACGGCCCACCAAGGCGACGAUCAGUAGCUGGUCUGAGAGGAUGAUCAGCCUCACUGGGACUGGGACACGGCCCAGACUCCUACGGGAGGCAGCAGUGGGGAAUAUUGGACAAUGGGCGCAAGCCUGAUCCAGCCAUGCCGCGUGGGUGAUGAAGGCCCUAGGGUUGUAAAGCCCUUUCGGCGGGGAAGAUAAUGACGGUACCCGCAGAAGAAGCCCCGGCUAACUUCGUGCCAGCAGCAGCCGCGG